rnacentral:rRNA from 1 species
AUAUCAAUAAGCGGAGGAAAAGAAACCAACAGGGAUUGCCCUAGUAACGGCGAGUGAAGCGGCAACAGCUCAAAUUUGAAAUCUGGCCCCAGGCCCGAGUUGUAAUUUGCAGAGGAUGCUUUUGGCAAAGCGCUUACCGAGUCCCCUGGAACGGGGCGCCACAGAGGGUGAGAGCCCCGUAUGGUAGGACGCCGAGCCUCUGUAAAGCUCCUUCGACGAGUCGAGUAGUUUGGGAAUGCUGCUCUAAAUGGGAGGUAAAUUUCUUCUAAAGCUAAAUACCGGCCAGAGACCGAUAGCGCACAAGUAGAGUGAUCGAAAGAUGAAAAGCACUUUGAAAAGAGGGUUAAAUAGCACGUGAAAUUGUUGAAAGGGAAGCGCUCGUGACCAGACUUGCGCCGGGCGGAUCAUCCAGCGUUCUCGCUGGUGCACUCCGCCCGGCUCAGGCCAGCAUCGGUUUUUGCCGGGGGACAAAAGCUUCGGGAACGUGGCUCCCUUCGGGGAGUGUUAUAGCCCGUUGCUUAAUACCCCGGCGGGGACCGAGGACCGCGCUUCGGCAAGGAUGCUGGCGUAAUGGUCAUCAGCGACCCGUCUUGAAACACGGACCGAGGAGUCAAGCAUUAGUGCGAGUGUUUGGGUGUAAAACCCGCACGCGUAAUGAAAGUGAACGUAGGUGAGAGCUUCGGCGCAUCAUCGACCGAUCCUGAUGUUUUCGGAUGGAUUUGAGUAGGAGCAUUAACGCUUGGACCCGAAAGAUGGUGAACUAUACUUGAAUAGGGUGAAGCCAGAGGAAACUCUGGUGGAGGCUCGCAGCGGUUCUGACGUGCAAAUCGAUCGUCAAAUUU